rnacentral:pre_miRNA from 1 species
CAUGCACCAGUGGGGUCCCUCAGCCUGGCCUGCAGGGAUUGGGCCAAAACCAACUCUCCGACAUUCCCCGAGGGGUCCUGGAUUGCGAGAGUGUGCAGGCCAGGCCGAGGGACCUCACUGGUGCACG